UAAGCGGAGGAAAAGAAACUAACAAGGAUUCCCCUAGUAACGGCGAGUGAAGAGGGAAGAGCCCAAGAUUGAAAGCUGGCGUCUUCGGCGUCCGCAUUGUAAUCUCAAGAAGUGUUUUCCGCUUCGGACCAAGCCUAAGUCCCUUGGAAAAGGGCAUCAUAGAGGGUGAUAAUCCCGUACAUGGCUUGGAGCGCCCGAAGCUUUGUGAUACGCUUUCUAAGAGUCGAGUUGUUUGGGAAUGCAGCUCAAAAUGGGUGGUAAAUGCCAUCUAAGGCUAAAUAUUGGGGAGAGACCGAUAGCGAACAAGUACAGUGAUGGAAAGAUGAAAAGAACUUUGAAAAGAGAGUUAAACAGUACGUGAAAUUGCCAAAAGGGAAGGGUAGGAGGUCAGAGAUGCGGCCUGGGAUUCAGCCUUGCUUUUGCUUGGUGUUUUUCCCAGAUUGCAGGCCAACGUCGGUUUUGGGCACUGGAGAAGGGUAGGAGGAACGUGGCACCUCUCGGGGUGUGUUAUAGCCUCCUACUGGAUACAGCGACCGAGACCGAGGACAGCAGCGUACUCGCAAGAGCGGGCCUUCGGGCACCUUUACGCUUAGGGCGUUGGCAUAAUGGCCCUCUACCACCCGUCUUG
rnacentral:rRNA from 1 species